GUAGGGAAUAUUGGUAAUCUGCGAAAGCGGGAACCAGCAACGCCGCGUGUGCGAUGAAGGCCUUCGGGUUGUAAAGCACUUUUUGAAGGGAUGAGGAAGGACAGUACCUUCAGAAUAAGCCUCGGCUAACUACGUGCCAGCAGCCGCGGUAACACGUAGGAGGCAAGCGUUAUUCGGAUUUACUGGGCGUAAAGCGCGUGCAGGCGGGUUGGUAAGUUGGAUGUGAAAGCUCCUGGCUUAACUGGGAGAGGUCGUUCAAAACUGCCAGACUAGAGGAUGAGAGAGGGAGGUGGAAUUCCGAGUGUAGUGGUGGAAUGCGUAGAUAUUCGGAGGAACACCAGUGGCGAAGGCGGCUCACUGGCUCGAUACUGACGCUGAGGUGCGAAAGCGUGGGGAGCAAACAGGAUUAGAAACCCUGGUAGUCC
rnacentral:rRNA from 1 species